UACGUAGGUGGCGAGCGUUGUCCGGAUUUACUGGGCGUAAAGAGCGCGCAGGCGGUCGUCCAAGUCGCGUGUGAAAGCCCCCGGCUCAACUGGGGAGGGUCACGCGAUACUGUUCGACUCGAAGGCAGGAGAGGGUAGUGGAAUUCCCGGUGUAGUGGUGAAAUGCGUAGAUAUCGGGAGGAACACCAGUGGCGAAGGCGGCUAUCUGGGCUGAAACUGACGCUGAGGCGCGAAGGCUAGGGGAGCAAACAGG
rnacentral:rRNA from 1 species